GACGAUUCCCUCUCUGGCGGGCCAUUGUACGUUUUCAAAAUAAGGCACUUCUUAUAUAUAAUGUCUUUUAGUGUUUCAUCGUCAGUGCCAUAGCUCCUGCAGAAUGUCUUUUCAGGACGAGAGGAAGUUAGGCCAAUACGAAAGUCACUGACCGUUGAAGAAGUAAACCGACUCUGUCUGGGAGCUUCCCACCUUGUGGAUCAGUUUAACAGCAUCUCGAGCGGUCAGCUCCUCUUCAGAUGUUCUAUCGUGUUGAUGAAGAUAAUCGUUUUUGGGUUCCUGAUUACUAGGCAUACUAUCAAAGAAGUCUGUUUGCUACUCUUUCACGUGGUAGAUGAGGCGAUUCGUUUCACAAUAAUCUGCUCUGCGGCAGAUCGUCUUGGAGAAAAACACAGGAAAAUGACGGACGCGCUAUGGAAACUCGGUUCCCUGACUCAGACAUCCAGAGAAGAGAAGCUCUUGGCGUCACUAACCUUCCGUCUGAGCGCCAGGCCGGUUCAGAUCAGCGUAGGGGGGUUCGGAGUUUUGGGGAAACACCUCCUUGGCAAUUAUCUCAACAUAGCCGUGACAUAUUCAGUCAUACUGUAUCAGUCAGUGUCGGACCAAUAAUGAAUCGAUCAGUAGAACUUCUCUUGUCAGACGACGAGGCUGAAGCACAAUUCACUUCAGAUGUCAAACUGCCUUUCAUACACUUUUUUUUUAUUUGUUUUAAUUUUAGCAACUAGGAUCCAAUGUAGGUCAUGUUUAUCUCAGUAAAUAUCAGAUUUACCCAAGUUUCGCCUGCCCUUUGUUAUUUUUUUACCAUUUGACCAGUUUUACCGCAUCUUUUCCACAAGUUUUAGCUACACCUACAGGGUAUACUCUAUAAAGCCCAUGGUAGUCGUAUAUUGUGGGCUUAUUCUAAAAGAACAAGAACAGCAAUUUGUACUCAUUCUCCACAGAAACGUUCUGGCCAUGAUAGUGCCUUUUAAAAUAAAAACAA